GAAUUUCAUGGGUAAUGUUUUGUUUUUGAGUGCAUACAAGCAUGAUUCCGCCUUUAAAUGUUAAUUGCAUGCAAUAGAUGUUGCUCAAAUGAACAUGUUUUUCACAAAAUUUCCUUCAAGUGGUAUCAAGAGCCUAGGUCUAGUAGUUGGUGAAUCCUUUUGGGUUUUGUAUUUUCAUAGUUUAUGAUUUGAAUGUUGUAAUUGUUACAAGUUUUAUUCUUGCUUCUUUGAAUGUAAAUUUUGUUAGAAAAUUUUGCCAUCUCAAAUGUUGUAGAUGUAGUUCAUAUGAGCAUGAAUUUUGGAGCUAAAAUUUGGUGCCGUGUUUUUGGGGAAAUUCGGCCAAAUCCAAAGGGUGGAUUUUUGGGUUCUUGUUUGUCUUGUUAAAAGUGUUUUAAGUUGACUUUUGGAACCCCUAAGUACCCUAGGAUGUUAACCCCCUUUU
rnacentral:lncRNA from 1 species